rnacentral:rRNA from 1 species
CCUACGGGAGGCAGCAGUGGGGAAUAUUGGGCAAUGGGCGCAAGCCUGACCCAGCAACGCCGCGUGAAGGAAGAAGGCUUUCGGGUUGUAAACUUCUUUUGUCAGGGACGAAGCAAGUGACGGUACCUGACGAAUAAGCCACGGCUAACUACGUGCCAGCAGCCGCGGUAAUACGGAGGUGGCAAGCGUUAUCCGGAUUUACUGGGUGUAAAGGGCGUGUAGGCGGGGAGGCAAGUCAGAUGUGAAAACCACGGGCUCAACCUGUGGCCUGCAUUUGAAACUGGUUUUCUUGAGUGCUGGAGAGGUAAUCGGAAUUCCGGGUGUAGCGGGGAAAUGCGUAGAUAUACGGAGGAACACCAGUGGCGAAGGCGGAUUGCUGGACAGUAACUGACGCUGAGGCGCGAAAGCGUGGGGAGCAAACAGGAUUAGAUACCCGGGUAGUC